GCGAACGCUGGCGGCGUGCCUAACACAUGCAAGUCGAGCGAGAAAGGGGUGGCAACACCCUGAGUAAAGCGGCGAACGGGUGAGUAACGCGUGGGCAAUCUGCCCUUCAGUCUGGGAUAACUUCUCGAAAGGGAGGCUAAUACCGGAUGAUGUCUCCUUGGGGCAUCCCGAGGAGAGCAAAGGGGGCGUCCGCAAGGGGCUCUCGCUGAAGGAGGAGCCUGCGUCCGAUUAGCUAGUUGGUGGGGUAAUGGCCCACCAAGGCGACGAUCGGUAGCCGGCCUGAGAGGGUGGCCGGCCACACUGGGACUGAGACACGGCCCAGACCCCUACGGGAGGCAGCAGUGGGGAAUCUUGCGCAAUGGGCGAAAGCCUGACGCAGCGACGCCGCGUGGGGGAUGAAGGCCUUCGGGUUGUAAACCCCUGUCGGGCGGAACGAAACCCCGA
rnacentral:rRNA from 1 species